CCAUGACCUGAAACGCUGUCCACCACCCGUGGUAGAGCGGCCCCACAGCACUUAGGACAACACUAGGACGCCAUGCGCUUGAGUGAGCGUGCCCGUGAACUGGAGAAGCGUUCUGCUGUGUGUGUGUGUGUGUGUGUGUGUGCGUGCGUGUGUUCUCUUGUUUUGUGAAACUGGGAUAAUACCACAGAAUAUAGUUGUGUCCAGAUGUGUUUUCUUGCUUCAUAUCAUUGCCUAAUACUUUUCUCUUCCCACCCCCCUGUGCCCUACCCCAGCGCCCACCACAGCGGGCAAGUUCCCUGGGCCCCCUCCAGGCAAGAAAGCCAAAGCCCGCUUCGAAACAUCAGCGCACGCUGUGAACACCCGCAGGAUGGAUUCUAAAAUCUGCAACAGGCAAAUGCUGUCUUCAGGCCUCAGCGGUGGUGCAAUACGGGGUAUCUCUUCUAUUCACAGGGCACGGGAGACACCCUGGAGAAUCUCAGGAGAUCAAAUAAAUGGAAGGAAUCCAGAGGCAGUAUUGCUGUAACCUGCACUGUGGUCUUCAGGGAGGAGGCGGCCCUGGCUGGAAGUGAGGUGCUCAGAGACCAGCUGCAUUUGGCAUAUGACGUGAAGUCAUCUAAAGGAGAAAAAACUUACUGCACUGAUCUGCACUAGGGGGAUGGAGGCGUUGCGGCCUGAAUUUGGAAACCAGGUGGAUAAUUCCACCAAAGCAGCAGUAAGUCAGCAAAAACCCAGAAAGACCUGCCAGGGAGACCCAGACCUCUGUGCGUUUCCACGGUUCCUUAUGGCAGACUUCAACCCUGCUGAGAUGGGUGCAUCGGGCUGGUCUUCAGAACUUUCAGGGAGAUAUCUUGAGAGAAUGUGUAUUAAGAGGGCCUCCAAUCCAUACCCUGCCAAGUGGGAAGACUUCACCACCAUCGAGAGAGUGUCAGAAGAUAGUCCUGGUUUUUUGUAUUCAGUUACCAGCCAAAGAUCCCUCUGGCACAUCAAGACGUCUAGUUCCAUGUGUUGGAGAAGACAACUGAGCAAGCACUGGACGGCUCGCCGUAUGAACUUGGACAACCCGUUCACAGUUGUCCCUGAAGUUUAUAACAUUGACCUUGGAAAUCUUGUUGGCUCUCUAGAUAAAAGAAGAAUACAUUUAAAUAUACUUUUAACCACUUAAGUGGCCAAGGAAAAUGAAAACAGUAAAAAAAAAAAUAAAUAAAGGAAAGAAAGAAAAAAAGAAAAACAAAGCCCACCUUGCAUAGCAUUGGAAUUGGAGACUGAACCACAGCAAGACACAAACAGAAACUGCUUUUCAUUGUCACGAGUGUGCACGGGGCAGAGAGGUCAACUCACAGUGUCCAUUUCCAAACGACGAGCGCCGGGUUGCAAGGACUGAGAAAGACGUGCCAGCAGACCCCCAUGCGGCCCAGAGGGCCUCAGUCUCAGGGCUGUUCUUAUAGCUGUGGCCUUGAGCUUCAGUGAAUAGGACUUCUCAAGGCCACA